CUGACCUGGUUUCUCUUCAUAACGCACAAGUCUUCGCCUUUACUAAAGACUUCCGUGAGAGAACAAACAUGAGCUGGGAAUAUAUUUUUGGCAGGCUUUGCUGUAUGGCUG